GGAGGAGCAAGGCCAAGAAGAACGCACCUGCUGUAAGGGUGCCCACCUGCGAAUGGCUCCAUGGAGAGGCCUUUCGGUAGCGGAAGACUCAGGUGUCCUCUGGCUGCGCUGGCCUCUUUGAAGGCUUCCCCUCUAUAAUGGAAUCACUACAAACACUUCCUGGACAAAGCACGAAGAAGCACUAAUUCCACACUGAUAAGGAUCAGUCUUCCUCUCAUUUCAUAAGUCUUCCACCAGAUACAAAGCUGUGCUAGAUAAGAUGUGUCCUUCCUCCCCCAAUCCCCUGUAACACAAAAGUCCUUACAAGACCCAAGAUGAAAAAAAAGAAAGAAUUACUUUAAUUGCUAUUCAAGUGCGUGUGAACAAGGGGGAGGGCUGCACAUUGAGGUGGAGACUUUUUUCUAUUACUACAAAAGAAAAAAAUCUUCAAAAAAGGGAAACGUGUAUCAUAUUGAGGAAGACAGGCCGAAGGUCACCUCUAAUAUCUGUUAAAUUCAGAGUUGUCAUAUGUGUCAGAGAUUUUCCUCUUCCUGUCUAAACUAACAUAGGCGGAUGUUAGUUAUGAUAAUAAAAUGUGCAUGCAGGUGUGAGCUGACUUUCUUUGCUUCUUGUCUAAUGAAGAGGUUUUAAAACACACCCACUUUAAAUGCAUUUCAUCUACGAAGACGGUUUUGCUUUAAAGUUUUAUGCAAAUGUUCUUAACGAUUUAUUAUAUUAAUUCAUAUUUUCUCCAAGUACAUGUAAAAUAAAAUGUCAAUGUGUUGGUGUUUUUCGU